CGACACGGAGAUGGAAACACGGUCGGUGGAGCCGCGCAGACGAUUACGCGGAAAGUUUCACGUGAUGGGACUUUUCCGGAAUCACCUACCGGCUUCCGGGAAGAUUUUCCGCCCGUCCGGCUGUGCGGACUCAAGGAGAGAAAGGUAACGCCACGGUGCCGAGCCAAAUUGUGUAUUAAAUUGCUUAAAAUACAUCAUGUUACGCCAAGUUUCGAAGAGACUCGGGAAGGACUGCGGCGACUACGUUUCGCCUCUUCGGUCCGGAGAGACACGCUGCCGGGGCGGACUUUCUUCACUGCUUUCCGCCGUGCCUGCUUCUGUUUUCGGGGAUUAGCCGGCUAGCUUGCUGCUAGCAUUCCGUGCUAACGCGACAAGUGUUCCAUGACAAACAUCUGGGUGUUUUACCAAUGAGCACCGAGGACGUCGUUUGAUGGUGUAGGUUAUGGGGGGUGGGCAGUUCCACUCCCAUGAUGCUUCAGCUGCAGGCUGAUGUUUAGUGCUGCAGAAAUGUGACCAUAGCUGAGCAGGAAAAAGCAUUCCUCUGUGUAACCACACUUAGGACCUUUAAAAAGAUUCAUUAAUAUCUGCACACCGGUCCACGUCCGCCUCCCCAUGCAGAACUCCGUGAAAUGAAUAAAGCACCACAGCCUCUAACAGGACCCCCCUCCAACCCCC
ensembl:lncRNA